rnacentral:lncRNA from 1 species
CUUUCUCAGGGGUGUCAGGUUGUCAUAACAAUCCCCUGCUUUGACCUCUCUCCCUUUUCUUAUCCUCUUCCCUCCCCUCUGCUCUCUACCCUCUCCUCCUCUCCCCUCUCCUCCUCUCAUCUGCUCUCUACCCUCUCCUCCUCUCCCCUCUCCUCUCCCCUCUGCUCGCUACCCUCUCCCCUCUGCUCUCUACCCUCUCCCCUCUGCUCUCUACCCUCUCCUCCUCUCCCCUCUCCUCCUCUCAUCUGCUCUCUACCCUCUCCUCCUCUCCCCUCUGCUCUCUACCAUCUCCUCCUCUCCCAUCUCCUCUCCCCUCUGCUCUCUACCCUCUCCCCUCUGCUCUCUACCCUCUCCUCCUCUCCCCUCUCCUCCUCUCAUCUGCUCUCUACCCUCUCCUCCUCUCCCCUCUCCUCUCCCCUCUGGUCUCUACCUUCUCCCAUCUGCUCUUUCCCGUCUCCUCCUCUCCCCUUUCCUCCUCUCAUCUGCUCUCUCCCCUCUCCUCUCCCCUCUGGUCUCUACCUUCUCCCCUCUGCUCUCUCCCCUCUCCUCCUCUCCCCUCUCCUCCUCUCAUCUGCUCUCUACCCUCUCCUCCUCUCCCCUCUCCCCUCUCCUCUCCCAUCUGCUCUCUACCCUCUCCCCUCUGCUCUCUACCCUCUCCCCUCUGCUCUCUACCCUCUCCUCCUCUCCCCUCUCCUCCUCUCAUCUGCUCUCUACCCUCUCCUCCUCUCCCCUCUGCUCUCUACCAUCUCCUCCUCUCCCAUCUCCUCUCCCCUCUGCUCUCUACCCUCUCCCCUCUGCUCUCUACCCUCUCCUCCUCUCCCCUCUCCUCCUCUCAUCUGCUCUCUACCCUCUCCUCCUCUCCCCUCUCCUCUCCCCUCUGGUCUCUACCUUCUCCCAUCUGCUCUUUCCCGUCUCCUCCUCUCCCCUUUCCUCCUCUCAUCUGCUCUCUCCCCUCUCCUCUCCCCUCUGGUCUCUACCUUCUCCCCUCUGCUCUCUCCCCUCUCCUCCUCUCCCCUCUCCUCCUCUCAUCUGCUCUCUACCCUCUCCUCCUCUCCCCUCUCCCCUCUCCUCUCCCAUCUGCUCUCUACCCUCUCCCCUCUGCUCUCUACCCUCUCCUCUAUCCUCUCCUCCUCCAUCCUCUCCUCCUCUACCCUCUCCUCCUCUCCCCUCUCCUCCUCUCCUCUCCUCUGCUCUCUACCCUCUCUCCUCUCCUCUGCUCUCUACCCUCUCCCCUCUCCUCUCCCCUCUGCUCUCUACCCUCUCCUCCUCUCCCCACUCCUUCUCUCCUCUCCUCUGCUCUCUCCCCUCUCCUCCUCUCCUCUGCUCUCUACCCUCUCCCCUCUCCUCUCCCCUCUGCUCUCUACCCUCUCCUCCUCUCCCCACUCCUUCUCUCCUCUCCUCUGCUCUCUACCCUCUCCCCUCUCCUCUCCCCUCGGAUAUGUAAUGGCCUGUAGCACCACAACAGGCAACUGUUGGAGUUAA